AGAUUGAACGCUGGCGGCAGGCCUAACACAUGCAAGUCGAGCGGCAGCACGGGUACUUGUACCUGGUGGCGAGCGGCGGACGGGUGAGUAAUGCCUAGGAAUCUGCCUGGUAGUGGGGGAUAACGCUCGGAAACGGACGCUAAUACCGCAUACGUCCUACGGGAGAAAGCAGGGGACCUUCGGGCCUUGCGCUAUCAGAUGAGCCUAGGUCGGAUUAGCUAGUUGGUGAGGUAAUGGCUCACCAAGGCGACGAUCCGUAACUGGUCUGAGAGGAUGAUCAGUCACACUGGAACUGAGACACGGUCCAGACUCCUACGGGAGCAGCAGUGGGAAUAUUGACAUGGGCGAAAGCCUGAUCCAGCCAU
rnacentral:rRNA from 1 species